GAGAGAGAGAGAGAGAGAGAGAGAGAGAGAGAGGCAGAGAUACUUGAGGACUCAAAGCGGACGAGGAAGAAAGAAGCAAGAAAACCGAAAAAAUUUCUCACGAUUUGGGGAGGGGGAGUUUUGCAAUUACAAGCUGAUGGGAUGAGAUGAACCAAAAAUCAAAUUUGAACUUCCUUUUUAUUUUGAGAAGUGUGCUAGAGUAAAUUUUUAAAUUUCAAAGAUGUUUGAAAUUUUGCAAAAUUCUUGUCUCGCGCCUUCUCUAAAUUUUGUAGCUUACAAUUCACACCGGGUUUCAAAAUAUUUAAAAAAACUAAAAUUCUUUUAUUUUACCUUUUCUCAACAUGGUUAACGGUGUGCCUGAAUAUCUUUGAGUUCGUGUAUUGUAUUUUAUUU
rnacentral:lncRNA from 1 species